rnacentral:misc_RNA from 1 species
GUGCCAUAACUGAAUGACUUCCUAAUAGUAGAAUCCUCCUUGAUCUCAUCCGAUUCCCCUUCCUCAAAAUCAUCAAUUGAGUCUGAGUCAAAUGGAUAGUUAUACUCUCCUUCAUCACUUCUGGCAGAGCACCUGCCUUCACUUCCCUCCUCCUCACGGCAAGCCUUUUUUGCUCUCCUGGUGGAAACAUACUCUGUAAAAAUCUUCACCUUUCUGAGACCAGCUUUUAUUGCAGAUAGCUCAUCCUUUUCAGUUGAGACGGUUUCUCCUGAUUGAGGUGGAGAUGAAACAGGAACUAUCGCUCUCUGCAAUGGCUCUGUGGCUUCUGGAACUGUUCUCAAUUCCAAUAAGCUAAGUGAUAUAAGGAGCAAGGGCCGAGGCUCAGCUGCACCAGCGGGAAGCAAAAGGGGUAGGCUUAAUUCCAACUCUUUCUGUUCAGCAGUAGAAGCAUAUUCAGCAAGGUUCAGCAUCGCAGUUCCAACAGCAGGAACCUUGUUCU